rnacentral:pre_miRNA from 2 species
GAGGUUGAGGAAGUUAUAGGACUUAGUUGCUCGGUGAGAAAACCUGAUGAUCUGGAGUCCUUCUUCUCCUACCGAUGCCACUAAGUCCCAUGAUUUCCUCUCCCUC